rnacentral:rRNA from 1 species
CCUACGGGUGGCAGCAGUGAGGAAUAUUGGUCAAUGGGCGCGAGCCUGAACCAGCCAAGUAGCGUGAAGGAUGACUGCCCUACGGGUUGUAAACUUCUUUUAUCAAGGAAUAAAGUGAGGCACGAGUGCCUUUUUGUGUGUACUUUAUGAAUAAGGAUCGGCUAACUCCGUGCCAGCAGCCGCGGUAAUACGGAGGAUUCGAGCGUUAUCCGGAUUUAUUGGGUUUAAAGGGAGCGUAGAUGGGUUGUUAAGUCAGUUGUGAAAGGUUGUGGCUCAACCGUAAAAUUGCAAUUGAUACUGGCUGCCUUGAGUACAGUUGAGGUAGGCGGAAUGCGUGGUGUAGCGGUGAAAUGCUUAGAUAUCACGAAGAACUCCGAUUGCGAAGGCAGCUUACUAACGUGCCACUGACAUUGAUGCUCGAAAGUGUGGGUAUCAAACAGGAUUAGAUACCCGAGUAGUC